AUACUUUUAAGGUAAAGUCAAUAUUUGGAAAACGGGUUGUAAUAAAUAUAUGCAUUUUAAAUUUGAGGUCACACCCUGGACAGAAAGGCGCCUUAUUCAAAUAUUAGGUUUGAAUCUUUGCCGUCCAAUCAGAGCAUUGCACUCGGCUCCGCCUCCUCGAGCUCCGGGACAGUUGUGUGUGUGAGCUAUGCUACACUCUCUGCUCUCCUCCAAAAGUCAGUCGGCUAACUUGAUCCUCCAGAACUUUGUCUUCGGCUACCAGGGAAAGGUGGAAUCAAGUUUAUCAAGCAGGCUGAGCCAGAUAUGUCCAGUGGUCCUGAGGUCCUGCAGUUGAGUGGUCCUCAGCUGAAUCCUUGACAUUAUUACUUUUCUAGUGUUAGGACAUUGAGCUUGGCCCAUUUAAAAGCUACCAAGUUCAGCUUAGCCUUGUACUGGUGUUGGUAGAUCCAUGAGCCUUCACGUGGAUCUAUUUCUGUAUUCUGUCUGCUCAUUUUCUGGUUAAUUGCUGCAACUCAGUCCAUCCAACCUGGCGAAACUCUUGGUCCACAUACAGUAACAUUUGCUGCGCCCUUGCUGCUCCCUUGCAUCAACAGCUAGUGGACAGGACAGAAGGAGGCAGCACCUUGGAAACAUCUUGACUAAUAAACUUUUAUUAUA